rnacentral:lncRNA from 1 species
CUUGUCUGGUGGUGGAUGGAGAUUGGUACUAUAGUUUAUGGCUCAACCAGCAACGGUUGGAUUGGUUUGUAGUGGAUUUGAUAUGAAGAAACAAAAAACCUAAACGCCUUAGAUCUGCAGAGUUUGUGGUGUUGCAAAGUUUGUGGUGAGUUGCAACUGUUUGUGGUUAUGUGGUUGUGGUUAAGGGUAUAUGAAGUUGUGGUUAGCUGGUUAUAGAUCGACAAGAAGUUGUAAACUAAAUUGAGUACAUAUUGGUUUGGUUGGAUAACAUAUUUUUUUUGAGUUUUUUUUUUGUUAGUGUCGUUGUGGAGGGACUAAAGAUGUGGUCGUCUGGUUGUUCAUGUAAAUGAAGUUGUGGUCAAUGAAGUUUUGUACUUUUGGUUAGUGGGUGAGGAUAUGUGUUGAGCAGUCAUAUGUAUGAAAGAUAUAUUGUUCCAGAGUUUGUGUCUUUGGUUACACAUUUUGUGGUCUAGCAUAUAAAAGACCAAGGUGCCUUAAAUUUUAUUAGAUGUCGUAGAGUUUGCGUUCAAUUGCAAACUUAGUUGUGGUUAGGCGUAAAUGAAAUUGUGAUUGGCUGGUUAUAAAAUGACAAGAAGUCAUGGUCAACUAGGUUGAGUAUCCACACAAACACCAAACAAGCCAAAUUCAUUCAUCGAAUCAGAACUCCAAAUUCCAUAAAAUUCACAACUCUUAGAUCAAAUUCAAAACCCAUAAAUUAACGGCUUAAUUCUGGUGAGGAACGGCGGAGUGUGUCUGCGUCGAGUCGGAGGAGAUUUGUC